UACGGGGGGAGCAAGCGUUGUUCGGAUUUACUGGGCGUAAAGGGCGCGUAGGCGGUCGUGACAAGUCACUUGUGAAAUCUCCGGGCUUAACUCGGAACGGUCAAGUGAUACUGUCGGACUAGAGUACAGAAGGGGCAACUGGAAUUCUCGGUGUAGCGGUGAAAUGCGUAGAUAUCGAGAGUAACACCUGCGGCGAAGGCGGGUUGCUGGGCUGAUACUGACGCUGAGGCGCGAAAGCCAGGGGAGCGAACGGG
rnacentral:rRNA from 1 species